rnacentral:ncRNA from 1 species
CACCUUAGUAACACAAGGUCUUGGUCUUAAACCUCUCAUUAUCUUAACUCCUUACUUAUACAUGCAAGCCUCGACACAACAGUGAGAUAGCCCACUAUUACACAAAGCGGAGCCGGUAUCAGAUCAACCCCAUGACACCAAGCAAUAAAGCCACACCCACACGGGCUAGCAGCAGUACUUAACAUUGGGCCAUAAGCGCAAGCUUGACCUAGUAAUGGAACCCACAGGGCCGGUUAAUCUCGUGCCAGCGACCGCGGUUAUACGACAGACCCAAGAAAAUGAUACCGGCGUAAAGCACGGCUAAAAAUUAAGUCCUCACAUUAGGGGUAAAAACAGGCUAGGCUGUAAAAAGCUAUAAGCUAAAAUAAACAUAUACCCCUAAUAACCUGAACAUUUUUGACCCGUGAAAGUCAGGACACAAACUAAGAUUAGAUACCUUACUAUGCCUAACCAUAACAACAACAGUUAAACAACAAACUGUUCGCCAAAUAACUACGAGUUAAAACUUAAAAUUUAAAAGACUUGACGGUACUUCACACCAACCUAGAGGAGCCUGUCCAAUAACCGAUGAUCCACGAUUAACCCUACCCGCCCUAGCCUAACAGUCUAUAUACCGCCGUCGCCAGCUUACCUUGUAAAAGAAAUAAAGUAAGCCCAAUAAUAACCCAUUAAUACGACAGGUCGAGGUGUAACCAAUGGACGGGAUAAAGAUGGGCUACAUUUUCUUUUAAACCAGAACAAACGAACAGACUAUGAAACUAGAAACUGAAGGUGGAUUUAGCAGUAAGCCAGGAAUAAACAAGCCUAGCCGAAACCAACGCAAUGAAGUGCGUACACACCGCCCGUCAUCCCUGAAGAACAUUAAACUAAUUCAUAAAAAACUACCGUUUCACCAAAACAGGGCAAGUCGUAACACGGUAAGCGUACUGGAAAGUGCGCUUAG